UACGGAGGGUGCAAGCGUUAAUCGGAAUUACUGGGCGUAAAGCGCACGCAGGUGGCUGAGUCAGUCGAUUGUGAAAGCCCUGGGCUUAACCUGGGAAUUGCAGUCGAUACUACUUAGCUAGAGUAUGGGAGAGGGUAGUGGAAUUCCCGGUGUAGCGGUGAAAUGCGCAGAUAUCGGGAGGAACACCAGUAGCGAAGGCGGUUCUCUGGGCCGGUACUGACGCUGAGGAGCGAAAGCGUGGGGAGCAAACAGG
rnacentral:rRNA from 1 species